rnacentral:rRNA from 1 species
UAGGGAAUCUUCCACAAUGGACGCAAGUCUGAUGGAGCAACGCCGCGUGAGUGAAGAAGGUUUUCGGACCGUAAAGCUCUGUUGUUGGUGAAGAAGGAUAGAGGUAGUAACUGGCCUUUAUUUGACGGUAAUCAACCAGAAAGUCACGGCUAACUACGUGCCAGCAGCCGCGGUAAUCGUAGGUGGCAAGCGUUGUCCGGAUUUAUUGGGCGUAAAGCGAGCGCAGGCGGAAGAAUAAGUCUGAUGUGAAAGCCCUCGGCUUAACCGAGGAAUUGCAUCGGAAACUGUUUU